UACGUAGGGGGCCAGCGUUGUCCGGAAUCAUUGGGCGUAAAGCGCGCGUAGGCGGCCAGAUAAGUCCGGUGUGAAAGUCACAGGCUCAACCUGUGAAUGCCGCUGGAAACUGUCUGGCUAGAGUCCGGGAGGGGCGAGUGGAAUUCCUGGUGUAGCGGUGAAAUGCGUAGAUAUCAGGAGGAACACCGGCGGUGUAGACGGCUUGCUAGACCAUAACUGACGCUGAGGCACGAAAGCGUGGGUAGCAAACAGG
rnacentral:rRNA from 1 species